rnacentral:rRNA from 1 species
GACGUAGGGCGCGAGCGUUGUCCGGAUUUAUUGGGCGUAAAGAGCUCGUAGGCGGCUUGUCGCGUCGAAUGUGAAAACCUGCAGCUCAACUGCAGGCUUGCAUUCGAUACGGGCAGGCUGGAGUUCGGUAGGGGAGACUGGAAUUCCUGGUGUAGCGGUGAAAUGCGUAGAUAUCAUUUGGAACGCCAAUGGUGAAAAACAGGUAGCUGGGGCUGUGCUGACGCUGAGACACGAAAGCCAGGGGAGCAAACGGG